rnacentral:rRNA from 1 species
CCGAGGAGUCCUGGCCGUUCGCGAGUCGUAGGGGCCCCCCUGACUAACCCCGGAGGCGUAGCGAAAGCGAGAGAGCGCGUUGGAGGGCACCGGUUCCGGAGAGGUGUCCCGGCGAAGUCGUCCGCGCGGUCCGCGGGUCUCGGGGGUUCGCCUCCGUUUCCCCGGGCCUCCGCGGCCUCCGAGCCGAGCCCGAUCCCGCCGGCGCGACGAGUAUCGACUUGUCCUUACUUUCCGUCGUCCGCCCCGCGUCCGUUGUCAUCGCCGUCGUCGUCCGAUUUUCCCAUCCGUGGGAGAUGAAGUUUGUGGCGGCGGCGGACGGGCGUGCGGGUUUGUGUUCACGGCGGCGUCACCUUCCUCCUUCCGCCCACCGGUGAGAUCCCGCGGCUUGAACCAGCACACUUUCGUUCGUCGGGUUUAGGCACUGCACGCGGGCGCAUCACCCCCGGGUCGGAUUUUUUCCGAGUACGACUCGGCCGACUCUGGCGUAGCGAGCGGCCAGGGACCCGAAAGAUGGCGAUCCACGCCCGGUCGGGAUGAAGCCAGAGGAAACUCUGGUGGAAGUCCGAAGCGCCUCUGACGUGCAAAUCGAUCGUCGGAACCGGGUGUAGGGGCGAAAGACCAAUCGAGCCGUCUA